CUGCUAAAAAGAAGCAAAAACAAGAACCAUUUAAGAUCUAAUCAAACCAUGGCUAUCGAAAAGAGAACCAUGAUUGCCUCCUUCAUCGUCGUUAUGAUGAUGGUAAUGAUGAUCAUGACCGAAGUCGAGGCCAGGAACCAUGUUUCAGUCAAGCCGCCGCCUCCAAAGAAGAGGUUUAUCUUUUUCUAAAUCGAUGGCUCAUAAAGUUUAUGAGAAAAUAAAUGGUUCUUACAAUGAGGAGCUUCAAGCAUGGUUAAACUAAAUUAUUAUAUUAUCAUUUUUCAUCCGCCUACAUAUAUGUUUAGUUGUGGAUGGUUUACUUAUACAAAAGAAUAUUUUAUAUGUGAAUGAAAUGUAUACUAGUUUCAUAUUGCAUACAUGAGAUUUUUAUUCAUGAAUCUCUCUAAAUAUUAACAAAAAUGUUCACUUAUUUAUUCUUUUAUAGAUAUCCUUAGUUAAUAUUACUAAAUUUGUGUUAUCAUGUGAGAUUUAGUUACGGAAUUGUGGUUCAUUUCAUUGUAAUUUCGGUGAUGUAUAACAACAACGCGAGGUAGAAGGCUGAAAAUUACGGGAAAUGGCCUAUUAUGAUCUUUUUUUUUUUUUCGUAAAAAGGCUUUCAUAUUAAACUAGCAAGAAAGAAAUAAAAAACAUACAGACCUAGGCCAGAGUAUUAUGGGCUGAACCCAGAGUUAUAAUAUAGAGAGACACAUAUCAUUGGAACCCAAAAAGCCCAUAGUGAUUUGCGAGAACAGAGAGGCAGAUUAGUCGGAUGUCUGUAGUGGAGAAUUCAUGAUCACCUUGUCCUGAUUAGGAUCGGAGGAACCAAAGUUGCAUCAUCGCAGAAGAGGCACGAGGAUUCUUACAACGGAAGCUCAAUAGACGGUGCCUUAUCUGUUUAUCAAUUGUGGAGAUGAUAGUGUCGGACGAUUUGAAAGUUUGGUGAUGAAGCCUUGAGUUACGCUCUCGCCAGAUCCAGUAGAUGGUGGCUUGCGCCGCAAGAAGAGUUAGGCGGUUGAGAUCCCUGUUUGUCCCCAGUGAUUGCAGUUGCUGUAGCGUCCCGUCCCAAGUGAGAAGUGGUUGUAGUUGACAUCUCUCAGCUAUCACUCGCCAUACCCUAGCAGUGGCAUCGAUCAAGCAACACCAGCCAGGUUAGGAAGCUUUGACGGGGGAUACCAUAAGAGGACCAGACCACCUUCGACCAUGGUACUAACGGUUGUGGCCCCUUCAGUUGUUAGGUGAAUCUGCAGCGCGAGUUGAUCCUCUGUACGAGCUGGAGGGAGUAACCACCGGUCGUUACAGUGUAGGGAAGCUACUGUCGCCGAAUGAGGGAUGCCUAGCCUUGAGGAUCUUGUGUUUAAGAAAUUGCUGAGGUUCCCAAAUGGUGACCAAUUAUCAACCCAAAAAGCUGUUGUUGCUCCAUUACCUAAACGUCUCCUGAGAAGAGGGUCUAAAGAAGAGUAACCAGAUGAGCUUUAGGAUGCAAGCAACAUUCCAGCUGUGAAGAUCCUUUACUCCUAGUCCUCCUUGUUCCUUGGCUUUCGGGAGUAUGAAAGUGGAGCACCAGAACGUUGAGACUCCGGCUAUGACAGUCUUUAUGAGAAGAAGACGUCCUGCAAAAGAUAAGGCCUUUGCUGACCAGGAUGAAAACCGCUUUUUGAUCUGCUGCAAAAGGGGCUCACAGUUCUGCAGGUUGACCUUUUUCGUACACAAUGGCACACCCAGAUACCUCAUUGGAAGUGCUCCACAGGGCAUUCCCGUAGACGCUUGUAUUGCAGAGAUUUCUGGUGCAGAGAGACCAGAAGCAAAGAAAGACGACUUUUGUAGGCUCACUGCUAGGCCGGAGCGUUUCUCGAACUCAUGCAGGAUUUGAAGGACUUUUUGCACUGAUUCAAUGGAUCCGUCUAUGAAGAUCAGCAGGUCAUCCGCGAACGAGAGAUGAGUUAACCUUGUCUUCCUGCACUGAUGAUGGUAAGAAAGGCUUCCUGCUCUUGCUUCCCUGUCUAACAACAUUGAUAAGUAGUUCAUAGCGAUGACAAAAAGGUAGGGUGAUAGAGGAUCUCCCUGCCGCAAGCCUCUUUUUCCUUUGAAGUAGCCAUUUACGGUACCAUUAUAACCAACCAUAUAAAAAUAAUCUUAACAAAUUUUAUGAUCUUAACAAAUUUUAUCGUGCCUUAUACGAUCCAAACAAAAAUAAUCUUGUUAAAUACGAUUUCAAUCUGAUUAUAGUUCAAAUAAUCUAUCUAAUUUUUUAAAAUAUACCUACAUUUACAUUAAUAACGGAAAAUAAUCAACCGUUAAUUCGACUGGCUACAUCUGACAUGGAGAUCUUGUACCGCUAUUAGUUAAAACUAUGUUGCUUUAAUUUUUUUAAAAGCUAAAUUUUGCACUGACGGGCUUGGAGAAUUUAAAAGAUCAUUAAGGCUUUGCGUAUGGGAAUGCUUCUUGCAUAAUCAAGUUAGUGUUGUUUAGGCAUCAUUACAGAUGAAUAGAACAAUCAUAUGUUUGAUGUAUUGCAAAAGGGUCCAUGUCGUACCUAAAGAUUAUCUUCCAUCAAGUAGACAUGUUUCUGAUUUGUGACCUUCACAUUUAUUUAAUUAUGAACGCAUAUGCUACCAAACAUUCUUGUUUUCCUUUGAUAUAUUGUAUUUUUUUUUGGGUGCAAAUGUUAAGUGAUAUAUUGUAUAUUGUCUUAUCAUUUGCAUUCUUGCAAUUUUUACAAAGUAAUCCCCUUCUAACUUAUUUCAAAAACAAGGUAACAAAAGGGUAGAAAAACCAUUACAGAUUAACAGUUCAAGUUUUAUAUACGAGAAGUUGUAGGUUGAAAGAUUUACAGGUCAGAAAAAGUCAUGGCAAUUGUAUCUGCUGUUGUUAGGUUAAUCUAACUAGGAUCCACUUUUGACUUGUUCAUUUCCAUCGAAUCUACUUUCAACACAAUUUUGAUUCACAUGAUCUGCAUUGUUACCCUUAGCUACUCCAAAACCACAAUUCUGUACAUAUCUUAUAUAAGAUGUACAGUGAUCAGGUGAAUCUGAUCUUGCUUUCUGAUCCAUCUCUGAGCAUUUCAAAUGGGGAAGAAAGGCCAUUUUUCCGUUGUAACAUCAAAAUGGUAAAACUAUUAUUACAUAUUCAUCACGUUUACGAUUGUUACGUGCUGUGUGUUCAUGAGAAUUAGGUCCGAGCAAGAGGUGUGGAUUAAACGACGAAGCAUGUGAGAGUUGAAACUUAUACAUUACUGACGGUUACUAUGGUCUACUGGUGGUUGGUCCUGAAGGAAGAGUCGCUAAGCCUUUAGCUACUCAUGUAGAAGGAAAGCCUAUACCCUUUGCCAACGAUCUUGACAUCCAUACAAAUGGCUCCAUCUUCUUCACCGACACGAGCAAAAGACAUGACAGAGCAUAGUCAAAAAGCCUCAUGCUUACCGUUAGUAUGAUAUACGAGUUAGACUUUGAACCAAUUGCAGAUGAAUCUGCUUGGGAGUAACUAAUGAUUAAUGACCCUUGGGAGUGAAGUGAGGGAGGUUGAAGGGAAGCUUUGGAUUGGAAAAUUGGCUCAUAAUCGUAUUGCAACUUUGUCUUAUCGUUUAACAAUCAACUAGUGAACAAUAUAAAAGUGUAGUUCGUAUCUCUUUGUAACUUACUAUCUCUGUUUUGAUUUUGAGUACAUCGGGCUGCUGUGUUUAUCUUUUGUUGAUGUGUGCAUAAGAUUAAUAUUGAAUUUUUCUUUUGUUGCAAUCA